rnacentral:rRNA from 1 species
GAUGAACGCUGGCGGCGUGCCUAAUACAUGCGAGUCGAGCGAACAGACGAGGAGCUUGCUCCUCUGACGUUAGCGGCGGACGGGUGAGUAACACGUGGAUAACCUACCUAUAAGACUGGGAUAACUUCGGGAAACCGGAGCUCAUACCGGAUAAUAUAUUGAACCGCAUGGUUCAAUAGUGAAAGACGGUUUUGCUGUCACUUAUAGAUGGAUCCGCGCCGCAUUAGCUAGUUGGUAAGGUAACGGCUUACCAAGGCAACGAUGCGUAGCCGACCUGAGAGGGGGAUCGGCCACACUGGAACUGAGACACGGUCCAGACUCCUACGGGAGGCAGCAGUAGGGAAUCUUCCGCAAUGGGCGAAAGCCUGACGGAGCAACGCCGCGUGAGUGAUGAAGGUCUUCGGAUCGUAAAACUCUGUUAUUAGGGAAGAACAAAUGUGUAAGUAACUAUGCACGUCUUGACGGUACCUAAUCAGAAAGCCACGGCUAACUACGUG